UUUUGCAAGAUGAAAAAGUAAUAUUUUUCUCUUCUUUAGUUCUGUUUUCUUCAUCUCUAAGAUGGUUGAUUUGGGCAUGCUUUGUUCCCUCAGUUUCUUGGGAGCAGCUGUCUUGGUCCAAGGCCUUUGUUAAAAAAUGGUUCAACAUCAAGAGCAAAGGUCAGGAUAACCAUGUCGAUGAGAUUGCUAGAAAAGAAAUAUGAGCGGACAAUAGGAGAACGUUGCAGCUCCAAAGUUGAAUGAAAGGAUAUUGUCGUCAUUGUCCAAGAGAUCAGUGGCUGCCCAUCCUUGGCAUGAUCAUGAAACAGGUAAAGAGGCCCCUUUGUGUUCAAUGUGUUUACAAAUCUCAAGUACUCCAGAGUUGAAAUUGAUGAAGUGCGGUUCGAGUGGGCUGAA